GAUGAACGCUGGCGGCGUGCUUAACACAUGCAAGUCGAACGGUGAACACGGAGCUUGCUCUGUGGGAUCAGUGGCGAACGGGUGAGUGAUACGUAGGUAACCUACCCCUAAGUGGGGGAUAACUUCAGGAAACUGAGGCUAAUACCGCAUGUGGUUCAUGACUUAAUGUUAUGAACUAAAAUCGCAAGAUGCUUGGGGAGGGGCCUGCGUCCGAUUCGCUAGUUGGUGGGGUAACGGCCUACCAAGGCGAAGAUCGGUAGCUGGUCUGAGAGGAUAUCCAGCCACACGGGGACUGAGACACGGCCCCGACUCCUACGGGAGGCAGCAGCAAGGAAUUUUGCGCAAUGGGCGAAAGCCUGACGCAGCGACGCCGCGUGAGGGAUGAAGGCCUUCGGGUCGUAAACCUCUUUUCUCAGGGAGGAAUAAUGACAGUACCUGGGGAAUAAGUCACGGCUAACUACGUGCCAGCCGCCGCAGUAACAC
rnacentral:rRNA from 1 species